AACGGCCGUACCAUGCUGAAUAUACCGGUUCUCGUUAGAUCACCGAAGUCAAGCAUCAUUGGGCGCGGUCAGUACUUGGGUGGGUGACCAUCUGGGAACACUGCGUGUCGUU
rnacentral:rRNA from 1 species